AGAGUUUGAUCUGGCUCAGGACGAACGCUGGCGGCGUGCCUAACACAUGCAAGUCGAGCGAUGAAAUCCUUCGGGGUGGAUUAGCGGCGGACGGGUGAGUAACACGUGGGUAACCUGCCUCAAAGAGGGGGAUAGCCUCCCGAAAGGGAGAUUAAUACCGCAUAGUAUUAGUUUUUCACAUGGAAGAUUUAAUUAAAGGA
rnacentral:rRNA from 1 species